AGAAUCAACGCUGGCGGCGUGCCUAACACAUGCAAGUCGAACGAGAAAGGGUAGCAAUACCUGAGUAGAGUGGCGCACGGGUGAGUAACACGUGACUAACCUACCCUGGAGUGGGGGAUAACUGAGGGAAACCUUAGCUAAUACCGCAUAACACCUACGGGUCAAAGGAGCAAUUCGCUUCAGGAGGGGGUCGCGGCCGAUUAGUUAGUUGGCGGGGUAAUGGCCCACCAAGACAGUGAUCGGUA
rnacentral:rRNA from 1 species